CUAGGUAUUAAAAACAUUUAAUAAUUUUUACCCUCCCCCCCACCUCCAAAAUAAAUCCCUCCUUGAGCUCUUGCCAACAGGAGUGAUUGUUUCUGAAACGAAGUUCUCAACUCACUCGAUUGUGGAGGCGGCUGCUGUCAUUUAUUCCUUUUAUUAAAGAAAAUUGUCUGCACUGGGUCUUCACUGUGGCACGCAGGCUUGGGCGUCGGAGCACACAGGUUUAGCUGUGGCAUGUGGGGUCUUGGUUCCCUGGCCAGGGAUCGAACCUAGGUCCCUUUCAUUGGAAGGCGGAUUCUGAACCCCCAGAGCCCAGGGAAGUCUCCAUUUAUUCUUUUAAGCAGCUCUCUUCUCUCCCCUGUAAAUGCUCUGGGUUAACAAUCCUGCUGCUGGUCCCCUUGCUCCCAGAUCACUUCCUUCUUGAUCGAGGCUCACAGAGUGGCCCCACGAGAUGGUCUCAAUAUCCAAAGGCGACAAGGCCACAUCUGGACCUAAAACUGUUCUGUGGCCCCACGUUUAAGUCACAAUCCCUUAGCCUGGCCUCGCUGAGCCAGGGCACAGGUCCCUGGAACCCUCCUUCCCUCCCUUCUCUGUCCUCAGCUCUCACGUUUCCCCAGCUCUCCUCCUCUGGAAUAGAAGCUCUCCGGGCUGACCUGAGUGUGAGCCCUUGGAGGGCAGGGACCUGUUGCCUGGCUCAGGGCUCCUUCCCAGAUCAGGGCCUUGGCCAAGUUGGCUGAGCAAGGAGGCCCCAGCCCAAGGGGCCAGGAGAGGGGUUGGGCCUGGUUUCUUCCAUAAGCUUUUCCUCUGUGGUGAUAACUCUGAGAACAGUGGGUUCUUCCCAGAGGGGUCUGGGCCAGGUGGGCAGCACCUCGUGGUCCCCUCAUGGUCUGGAUCACUGAGGCCGGGGGCCCUGGGGACAGACUCCUCAUCACCUGGUCCACCAGGAGCCCUCUGACUCCCUCCCUCCCAGAUGCCCUCUUUCAGCCUCCCCUGACUUCCAGCCCUCAUCCCAGACCUCGGCUCCCCAAGCUCAGCACUUUACAUACGACGGCUAAGAUUCUGGGGGCCUCCAGGACCAUGCUGUCUAGAGCAACCAUUCUUCCUCCCUAGCCUGUUCUUUUUUGUUGUUGUUAUUGUUUUUUCCUAGCCUGUUCUUUGGGCAAAAGACAAAAUGAUCAAGCUGGUUUCCUGACCCAGAAGUGUGAGGAGAGAACAGAAAGUAUGGGCUGGAGACCACAGACACAGAAUAAAUUUCAGCCUCACCAUCUGCCA
rnacentral:lncRNA from 1 species